CCUACGGGAGGCAGCAGUGAGGAAUAUUGGUCAAUGGGCGGGAGCCUGAACCAGCCAAGUCGCGUGAGGGAAGACGGUCCUAUGGAUUGUAAACCUCUUUAGGCGGGGAGCAAUGCCGGGCACGCGUGCCCGGAGGGAGAGUACCCGCAGAAUAAGCAUCGGCUAACUCCGUGCCAGCAGCCGCGGUAAUACGGAGGAUGCGAGCGUUAUCCGGAUUUAUUGGGUUUAAAGGGUGCGUAGGCGGAUUUUUAAGUCAGCGGUCAAAUCGUGGGGCUCAAUCCCAUCCAGCCGUUGAAACUGGGGAUCUAGAGUGUGCGAGAGGUAUGCGGAAUGCGUGGUGUAGCGGUGAAAUGCAUAGAUAUCACGCAGAACCCCGAUUGCGAAGGCAGCAUACCGGUGCACAACUGACGCUCAGGCACGAAAGCGUGGGUAUCGAACAGGAUUAGAUACCCCGGUAGUC
rnacentral:rRNA from 1 species